rnacentral:lncRNA from 1 species
GGCAGCGCCGGGCCGGGCCGGGCCGGGCCAGCAGUGGGUUCCCGCCUCCCCGGCCGCGCCCGCGGACACAUAAAGAGCGCUGGCGGCCGGCGGGGAGUGCGAGGAGGUCGGGUGGCACCGCUGCCUCGGGGCCGUCUGCUUACGGCAGUCUUCCCCACACCUGUCCGCCGUUCGGGCUGUGCCACUGCGGGAGCCCUGGGGUCGGGUCGCUCACUCGGAGGGCUCAGCCAGGUUCGCAGGAAGAGUUAUGAGUGUGCUUGGAAAAGACCCUGAGUGGGGCAGGGAGCAGAACCUACAGAAGGUGGCUGAGGUAAGGGCAGAACAGACGUUUG